UGAGACAGUUCGGUCCCGUAUCUGCCGUGGGCGGCUGGAGAACUGAGGGGGGCUGCUCCUAGUACGAGAGGACCGGAGUGGACGCAUCACUGGUGUUCGGGUUGUCAUGCCAAUGGCACUGCCCGGUAGCUAAAUGCGGAAGAGAUAAGUGCUGAAAGCAUCUAAGCACGAAACUUGCCCCGAGAUGAGUUCUCCCUGAGACUUAGAGUCUCCUGAAGGAACGUUGAAGACGACGACGUUGAUAGGCCGGGUGUGUAAGCGCAGCGAUGCGUUGAGCUAACCGGUACUAAUGAACCGUGAGGCUUAACCUUACAACGCCGAAG
rnacentral:rRNA from 1 species